UACGUAGGCAGCGAGCGUUGUUCGGAGUUACUGGGCGUAAAGGGCGCGCAGGCGGCUGCUCAAGUCAGGCGUGAAAGGCCUGGGCUCAACCCGGGAAUUGCGCUUGAGACUGGGCUGGCUUGAGUGCGGGAGAGGAUGGUGGAAUUCCCAGUGUAGAGGUGAAAUUCGUAGAUAUUGGGAAGAACACCGGUGGCGAAGGCGGCCAUCUGGACCGCAACUGACGCUGAGGCGCGAAAGCGUGGGGAGCAAACAGG
rnacentral:rRNA from 1 species